rnacentral:rRNA from 1 species
AACGAACGCUGGCGGCAGGCUUAACACAUGCAAGUCGAACGCUCCGCAAGGAGAGUGGCAGACGGGUGAGUAACGCGUGGGAAUCUACCCAUCUCUACGGAACAACUCCGGGAAACUGGAGCUAAUACCGUAUACGUCCUUCGGGAGAAAGAUUUAUUGCUGAUAGAUUAGCCCGCGUUAGAUUAGCUAGUUGGUGGGGUAAAGGCCUACCAAGGCGACGAUCUAUAGCUGGUCUGAGAGGAUGAUCAGCCACACUGGGACUGAGACACGGCCCAGACUCCUACGGGAGGCAGCAGUGGGGAAUAUUGGACAAUGGGCGCAAGCCUGAUCCAGCCAUGCCGCGUGUGUGAUGAAGGCCUUAGGGUUGUAAAGCACUUUCAACGGUGAAGAUAAUGACGGUAACCGUAGAAGAAGCCCCGGCUAACUUCGUGCCAGCCGCCGCCGUAACAC